rnacentral:lncRNA from 1 species
AGAGGAUGUGGACAAAUAGGAAAGCUUGCACACUGUUGGUGGGAGUGUAAAUUAGUUCAAUCAUUGUGGAAGACAGUGUGGCAAUUCCUCAAGGAUCUAGAACCAGAAAUACCAUUUAACCCAACAAUCCCAUUACUGGAUAUAUACCCAAAGGAUUAUAAAUCAUUCUACUAUAAAGACACAUGUACACAUAUGUUUAUUGCAGCACUGUUCACAGUAGCAACCCAAAUGUCCAUCAGUGAUUGAUAGACUGGAUAAAGAAAAUGUGGCACAUAUAUACCAUGGAAUACUAUGGAGCCAUAAAAAAUGAUGAGUUCAUGUUCUUUGCAGGCACAUGGAUGAAGCUGGAAACCACCAUUCUCAUCAAACUAACACAGGAACAGAAAACCAAACACCACAUGUUCUCACUCAUAAGUGAGAGUUGAACAAUGAGAACAGACAGACACAGGGAGGGGAACAACACACACCGGGGCCUGUUGGGUGGUAGGGGGCUAUGGGAGGGAUAGCAUUAGGAGAAAUACCUAAUGUAGGUGACGGGUUGAUGGGUGCAGCAAACCACCAUGGCACGUGUGUACCUAUGUAACAAAACUGCACGUUUUGUACAUGUACCCUAGAACUUAUAAAAAUAAAAAAAAUUUGCACUGAAGAGCAAACAAAAACCACAACAAUUCCAGGUAAAUGCUUUUAAAUUAGAGCAGGUCAACCUAAUUGUUUUUUGCUUUUCAGACUGGCAACUCUUGAGAAUCUCAUAAUUUUCCAUAAAAUCUAUAAAUAAGUAUUCCUCUUUCAAAAGGAGUACAGGGCCCCCUCUGCUGGGAUCCAGGAACAAGCUAGCAAGGCCUCCAGACAGGGGAUUUCCACUGAUCCUUUGUCACUACUGAGCCCAAAAGUGCACGGGCAGCAAGUUACCAAAUCGCCUUCCACAAGGUCUACAAACCCAUCUGGGACACAUGGCAGGGACCAACACGCUUCUAGACUUCCCAUGUUCCAAGUCCACUUCUGCCGGCAGAAUAGAAACCUCGUCAGUUAUCACAACUCAGAUGAAAAAGCCUCACAGCUUGCGGUGUUGACAGUAUUCUAGAAGACCCUACACCCCUGUGGCUUCUCGAUGACUAAUGUGGAGCCAGCAUCUGUCAGCACAAACUCAGAGUGAUUACCCAGAAAUAGGUAUCCUUCUAAUUAAAAUAUCUGACCAUGUCCCCAUCAGCCACUUGCCUCAUUUGGGACACCACCAACCAUCCUGCACGGCUGCCCAUGUUUCUGUUUCUCCAGCCCAAGCAUGCAGUUUCAGUAGGUCCUUCAGAGGCUGCCUGAAAGCAUCCCGCCUCCAGAGCCCUGUGGGUUGAAGACCGCUGUGCUCUUUUCUUUCGGCUUCACACGCUGGUUAGUCUUCUGUUUGCUUUGUCAGCACGGUACUUUUCAUUUCCUUCGUGGUGUUUUUAGGAGCUCCUGAAUUUCACAGACAAAUCCAGACCCCUGUGUGGAAAGCCUGCGGUGGUGUUCUCCGUCUUCCCACAGGACUCCCUGCAGCCAGGAAUUCUAGGGGAGCACCUGACGCGAGGUAUACGCCCAGAUGGCCUGAAGUAACUGAAGAAUCACAAAAGAAGUGAAAAUGUCCUGCCCCGCCUUAACUGAUGACAUUCCACCACAAAGGAAGUGUCAAUGGCUGGUCCUUGCCUUAACUGAUGACAUUCCACCGCAAAAGAAGUGAAAAUGGCCGGUCCUUGCCUUAACUGAUGACAUUACACCACAAAAGAAGUGAAAAUGGCCGGUCCUUGCCUUAAGUGAUGGCAUUACCUUGUGAAAGUCCUUUUCCUGGCUCAUUCUGGCUCAAAAUCACCCCCACUGAGCACCUUGUGACCCCCACUCCUGCCCGCCAGGGAACAAUCCCCCUUUGACUGUAAUUUUCCUUUACCUACCCAAAUCUUAUAAAAUGGCCCCACCCCUAUCUCCCUUUGCUGACUCUCUUUUUGGACUCAGCCUGCCUGCAUCCAGGUGAUUAAAAGCUUUUAUUGCUCACACA